GCACCUGAUUGAUUUUGGUCGCCAACGAGUGGCGGACGGGUGAGUAACACGUAGGUAACCUGCCCAGAAGCGGGGGACAACAUUUGGAAACAGAUGCUAAUACCGCAUAACAGCGUUGUUCGCAUGAACAACGCUUAAAAGAUGGCUUCUCGCUAUCACUUCUGGAUGGACCUGCGGUGCAUUAGCUUGUUGGUGGGGUAACGGCCUACCAAGGCGAUGAUGCAUAGCCGAGUUGAGAGACUGAUCGGCCACAAUGGGACUGAGACACGGCCCAUACUCCUACGGGAGGCAGCAGUAGGGAAUCUUCCACAAUGGGCGCAAGCCUGAUGGAGCAACACCGCGUGAGUGAAGAAGGGUUUCGGCUCGUAAAGCUCUGUUGUUAAAGAAGAACACGUAUGAGAGUAACUGUUCAUACGUUGACGGUAUUUAACCAGAAAGUCACGGCUAACUACGUGCCAGCAGCCGCGGUAAUACGUAGGUGGCAAGCGUUAUCCGGAUUUAUUGGGCGUAAAGAGAGUGCAGGCGGUUUUCUAAGUCUGAUGUGAAAGCCUUCGGCUUAACCGGAGAAGUGCAUCGGAAACUGGAUAACUUGAGUGCAGAAGAGGGUAGUGGAACUCCAUGUGUAGCGGUGGAAUGCGUAGAUAUAUGGAAGAACACCAGUGGCGAAGGCGGCUACCUGGUCUGCAACUGACGCUGAGACUCGAAAGCAUGGGUAGCGAACAGGAUUAGAUACCCUGGUAGUCCAUGCCGUAAACGAUGAGUGCUAGGUGUUGGAGGGUUUCCGCCCUUCAGUGCCGGAGCUAACGCAUUAAGCACUCCGCCUGGGGAGUACGACCGCAAGGUUGAAACUCAAAGGAAUUGACGGGGGCCCGCACAAGCGGUGGAGCAUGUGGUUUAAUUCGAAGCUACGCGAAGAACCUUACCAGGUCUUGACAUCUUGCGCCAACCCUAGAGAUAGGGCGUUUCCUUCGGGAACGCAAUGACAGGUGGUGCAUGGUCGUCGUCAGCUCGUGUCGUGAGAUGUUGGGUUAAGUCCCGCAACGAGCGCAACCCUUGUUACUAGUUGCCAGCAUUAAGUUGGGCACUCUAGUGAGACUGCCGGUGACAAACCGGAGGAAGGUGGGGACGACGUCAGAUCAUCAUGCCCCUUAUGACCUGGGCUACACACGUGCUACAAUGGACGGUACAACGAGUCGCGAACUCGCGAGGGCAAGCAAAUCUCUUAAAACCGUUCUCAGUUCGGACUGCAGGCUGCAACUCGCCUGCACGAAGUCGGAAUCGCUAGUAAUCGCGGAUCAGCAUGCCGCGGUGAAUACGUUCCCGGGCCUUGUACACACCGCCCGUCACACCAUGAGAGUUUGUAACA
rnacentral:rRNA from 2 species